AAAAGGUUUAAAUUUACUUAUUGAGCUUAUUAGCAUAUUCAAUAAAUUACUUACAGUGGACUUUCAUUUCAAUUGUUCAAAAUUGGAAGUGAUUCAGGCAUUAAAUUUAGUAGUUAAAACAUUGGAGUCGUUCGGGAUUGAUUUAUCUAGAUCAAAGUUCAAGUCUGAUGCUGAAAAUAGUUUAGUUAUUGAUAUUAUAGUAAAUUUU